rnacentral:rRNA from 1 species
UAGUCCACGCCGUAAACGAUGAUCACUAGAUGUUGGUUUGGCUUAGCUGAAUCAGUGUCGAAGCUAACGCGUUAAGUGAUCCGCCUGGGGAGUACGAUCGCAAGAUUAAAACUCAAAGAAAUUGACGGGGGUUCGCACAAGCGGUGGAACAUGUGGUUUAAUUCGACACUACGCGAGAAACCUUACCUAGGCUUGACAUGUGAUUGCUACCAGUAGAAAUAUUGGGUUUCGUGGAAACGCGAACGGUCACACAGGUGCUGCAUGGCUGUCGUCAGCUCGUGUCGUGAGAUGUUGGGUUAAGUCCUUUAACGAGCGCAACCCUUAUCGCCAGUUGCUACUCUUCGGAGGCACUCUGGUGAGACUGCCUGGGAAACCAGGAGGAAGGUGGGGAUGACGUCAAGUCCUCAUGGCCCUUAUGUCUAGGGCUACACACGUGUUACAAUGGCAAGUACAACAGGUUGCGAUACCGUAAGGUGGAGCGAAUCCUACAAAGCUUGUCUAAGUUCGGAUU